AACGAACGCUGGCGGCAGGCCUAACACAUGCAAGUCGAACGAGAAGCUGGAGCUUGCUCCAGUGGAAAGUGGCAGACGGGUGAGUAACGCGUGGGAAUUUACCCAGUGGUACGGAAUAACUCAGGGAAACUUGUGCUAAUACCGUAUAAGCCCUUCGGGGGAAAGAUUUAUCGCCAAUGGAUGAGCCCGCGUUAGAUUAGUUUGUUGGUGGGGUAAUGGCCUACCAAGACUACGAUCUAUAGCUGGUCUGAGAGGAUGAUCAGCCACACUGGGACUGAGACACGGCCCAGACUCCUACGGGAGGCAGCAGUGGGGAAUAUUGCACAAUGGGCGCAAGCCUGAUGCAGCCAUGCCGCGUGAGUGAAGAAGGCCUUAGGGUUGUAAAACUCUUUCACCGGUGAAGAUAAUGACGGUAGCCGGAGAAGAAGCCCCGGCUAACUCCGUGCCAGCCGCCGCCGUAACAC
rnacentral:rRNA from 1 species